AUUGAACGCUGGCGGCAGGCCUAACACAUGCAAGUCGAACGAGUGGCGGACGGGUGAGUAAUGUCUGGGAAACUGCCCGAUGGAGGGGGAUAACUACUGGAAACGGUAGCUAAUACUGCAUACCAUCGGAUGUGCCCAGAUGGGAUUAGCUAGUAGGUGGGGUAACGGCUUACCUAGUCGACGAUCCCUAGCUGGUCUGAGAGGGUGACUAGCCAACCUGGAACUGAGACACGGUCCAGACUCCUACGGGAGGCAGCAGUGGGGAAUAUUGCACAAUGGGCGCAAGCCUGAUGCAGCCAUGCCGCGUGUAUGAAGAAGGCCUUCGGGUUGUAAAGUACGUUCAGAGAGGAAGCGUUACUCGAAGAAGAAGCACCGGCUAACUCCGUGCCAGCAGCCGCGGUAAUUAC
rnacentral:rRNA from 1 species